rnacentral:rRNA from 1 species
GAUGAACGCUGGCGGCGUGCCUAAUACAUGCAAGUAGAACGCUGAAGGAGGAGCUUGCUCUUCUGGAUGAGUUGCGAACGGGUGAGUAACGCGUAGGUAACCUGCCUGGUAGCGGGGGAUAACUAUUGGAAACGAUAGCUAAUACCGCAUGACAACAGUUAUUGCACGAUAACUGUUUAAAAGGGGCAACUGCUCCACUACCAGAUGGACCUGCGUUGUAUUAGCUAGUUGGCGAGGUAACGGCUCACCAAGGCGACGAUACAUAGCCGACCUGAGAGGGUGAUCGGCCACACUGGGACUGAGACACGGCCCAGACUCCUACGGGAGGCAGCAGUAGGGAAUCUUCGGCAAUGGACGGAAGUCUGACCGAGCAACGCCGCGUGAGUGAAGAAGGUUUUCGGAUCGUAAAGCUCUGUUGUAAGAGAAGAACGAGUGUGAGAGUGGAAAGUUCACACUGUGACGGUAUCUUACCAGAAAGGGACGGCUAACUACGUG